UUGGGUUUAAAGUGCACGUAGGCGGGCUGUUAAGUCGGGGUGAAAUCCCGGGGCUCAACCCCGGAACUGCCUUCGAUACUGGCAGCCUUGAGACCGAGAGAGGUGAGUGGAAUUCCGAGUGUAGAGGUGAAAAUUCGUAGAUAUUCGGAGGAACACCAGUGGUGAAGGCGGCUCACUGGCUCGGUACUGACGCUGAGGUGCGAAAAGCGUGGGGAGCAAACAGGAUUAGAUA
rnacentral:rRNA from 1 species